GACGAACCGUGCAAACGUUGUUCGGAAUCACUGGGCUUAAAGGGCGCGUAGGCGGCUCGCCCAGUCGGGGGUGAAAUCUUUCGGCUUAACCGGAAAAGUGCCUCCGAUACUGGCGAGCUCGAGGGAGGUAGGGGCAUGCGGAACUUCCGGUGGAGCGGUGAAAUGCGUUGAUAUCGGAAGGAACGCCGGUGGCGAAAGCGGCGUGCUGGACCUCUUCUGACGCUGAGGCGCGAAAGCUAGGGGAG
rnacentral:rRNA from 1 species